UCAAUUGUUUAAACACAGUUACAAAUAUUUUGGUUAGUUGCUCUUUGGGAUUCAAAUCCCUCUGCGCUUUCAGAUCUUGUUGCCCACAUGACCCAGGCUUAAAUUAAAAUAUUGUUUGUUUGCAGUUUACCGACCGACCCUUGAAAAUCCUCCCGACUGUGAAAAUUUUAUUGCUUUAAAUUUGAAGAAAUUUUUUUUAAUACUUCUAUUGACGCGAUCUGGAACUUUGGGUCCUUUCCGGAAAUGAUUUAAAGUCUGGGUCAAUUAAGCAUUUCAAGUUCGGUUUUUCUUAGCUUCCCGUCAAGCGUUCAUGUGACCAUUUAAUGAUAAAGCACAUGGAAAUUGUUUACAGGUAUCCAUGAAGUCACGGAGGAGUACUUUACGCUGUCGUCUCGUGUCAAUUUUAAGACAAAUAACAAACAAAAAAGUUUAUUAGUAAACUGUUUAUACAGAUUCAGGCACAUGUAAUGAUGUGUGAUGAUAUCAUUGACGAUGAUGCAGCGGAUAUAAUUCAUAACUGACACGAUAACCAUUCUGUCUCAAACAAAUCGGGUACAGAAUCUGUGGAGCCUGACUUUAUAGAACCAAUUUCAGUGGUUGAAUAAUUCGACAGCAGCUUGAAGUAUGGCAUAUUUUCUACAAAUUGUUGUGAAGACGACAAAGAUGAAACCACUCCUCCGUGACUUAAAUCUUCAUGGAUAUCUCAGUGUAAACACGCCUGUACGGAGGAAGGGCUCAUUUAAAAUGUUAAUGGAUAUAGAUCAUGCCAAAUCAAUAAGAAGCAACCAUAACUACACAAAGAUGUAGAGAAAAUGAAUGGUUAGCUUGAAAAAUAAAUAUACUCUCUCUAUAUUAAAUCUAUCUUCGAUUGCAUACUCAUACAUGAGUAUGCUCCUUUAGGAUAAGGGGGGCUGCCCCACUCAUUGCAAUUAUUCUCUUUCUUACAAUAUUAGAUAUACUUAAACUGUGUGGCCUGUGUGAAUUCAAUUAAAACAUG
rnacentral:lncRNA from 1 species